CAAUGACCUGACACAGUGUUACCGGAUGAGGAGUCUGGUCUUGCUUUGCUUUCUCUGCCUUUUCUGUCUUGUCAUUGGCUCUCCCGCCCUCCUACACGCACCCCGCCUGUUGCUUCUCUCAUUCUCCAGUUCCCUUCCAAUCCCCCUUCACUUCUCUUUACUCCCCUCCCCCAGGUCAGUGCUCGGCGUUUCCUCCCUCUUUCUGUUCUCCCAUCCUCCCGGGCAGCUGUCUCUGUCCUGUUCUGUCUCCUGUUCUCCCGCCCCUCCAGCUCCUUCCCUUCCUCCUUUCUCCUGGGCCCUUCUCUGCCGCACCUUCCACAGCUGCUCUGUUCCUCCCCAUCCUCGUCUAGUCCCAUUCGUUGUCCUUUCUCUCCCUGGGUCACAGAGAUGGCCCCGGGGUGGCUGCGCCCUGUUGAGGCAGGGAACGUUUCUGCUGCAUGGCCGAGUUCCCAACCUGGACCCGCCGGGUCUGGCAGCCUGUCCCCGCAGUAGCCUGGGCUGUGCCCACGACACCCCCGCCGCCCAGCUACCCGGCCCUCUCCGUGCCUCACACUGGCUCCUAACCUGCUUCACGUUCCUGCUUCCUGCCCCGGUCUCUGGGCUGACGCUGUCUUAGGGGCGCCCCCUCCUCAGCUGGAGGGGCAUGGUCCUCUGUCGCUACUUCCAAUCCUCUCUCCCUUCUUUCUCUCCAUAUUGCUCUUCCACACUCAUGCACCUCUUCUUUCCUUUCUGCUUUUUUUCUCGCUCACUCACCCGCUGGAGUGCAGUAGUGCAGCCUCCACCUCCCAGGCUCCAGUGAUCCUCCUGCCUUAGCCUCUCAAAGUGCUGGGACCACAGGUGCGAGGCACCAUGCCCGGCCUGUUCUUUUCUCUCUGCCCUUUUUUGUAUUUUUUCCUUUCUCCUUUCCUUCUUCCCUAAUGUCUGUCUCUCUCCUUCCCUUCUUAACUUCCCUUCUCUCUCCAGCCCUCUCCUACCCUCCUUUUCUCUUUUCCCCUAUCUCCAGCCCUCUCCUACCCUCCUUCCCUCCCUCUUUCUCUCUCCCCCUCCGCACCGCUCCAUCUCCCUCUCGGUCCAGUCCGCUGUCUGUGCCCCCUCUCUGUUCCGUUUUCUCUCCCACCCUUCUUCCCUCUCCCAUUUCUUCUCUUUUCCCCUCUUCCUGUUCUCUUUUUCUCGCUGUCCUCUCUGUGGCCACCCUCCUUUUUCUCACUUCUGCUCUCCCUGUCCGGCUCUUCUCUCUCCUCUCUCCCUUCUAGCAGAUUCUCUGGCUGUUUCCUCUCCUCUCCCUCUGUGCUCCUCCCUCCUCCUCUCUCCUCCCAGCCACUAUCCUCUCUCUUCACCCUCUUCUCUUUCUGUCUCAUGGUCUCCUCCUAGCUCUUUUCCUUCCCAGUUCCUAGCUCUCUCCUUUCUCUUUCCUCUUCUCUGGCUGGAGCUCCCCGCUCCUCCAUCCCUCCCUCUCCCGGGGCCCCCUCUCCCCCACCCUCUUCUCCCCCAACACCCUCUCCCCCACCCACUUCUCCCUAGGACGCUCCCUCCUUCACCCGUUUCUCUGCUUCCCUCUUCUCCGAGCUCACCAGCCAUGGCACCCACCCUCUCCCUCUCUUCCUUCCUGUCCCUUUUUUCACCCCCUCGUCUUUCUUUCCUCUUCUGUUUUUUCUUCUCUUUCCACUUCUGACCCCCUACACUGUUUCCUUCUUUCUCCCUCUUCCUCUCUCCCCUCCUGCUCUGGCCAUCUUUUCUUUUUUUUUUUUUUUUUUUUUUUGAGACGGAGUCUCGCUCUGUCGCCCAGGCUGGAGUGCAGUGGCGCAAUCUCGGCUCACUGCAAGCUCCGCCUCCAGGGUUCACGCCAUUCUCCUGCCUCAGCCUCCCGAGUAGCUGGGACUACAGGCGCCUGCCACCAUGCCCUGCUAAUUUUUUUUUUGUAUUUUUAGUAGAGACAGGGUUUCACCGUGUUAGCCAGGACGGUCUCGAUCUCCUCACCUCGUGAUCUGCCUGCCUUGGCCUCCCAAAGUGCUGGGAUUACAGGCGUGAGCCACCGUGCCCGGCUCUUUCCUCCUGCUUUUUUCCUACACUCUCUCCUCCCUCCUCUCCUCCCUCUUUCUCCUGUUUGAUUUCCACCUCUUUUCUCUCCUCUCUCCUCUGAAUCUGCCUCUUCCUCUUCUCACCUCCCUCUUCCUUCCCUGUCUCUCCCCCUUGGGUCUCUCUUCCUUCCCUCUCUCUGGUUUCUCUGUCUCUGCCCUGUCCUUUCCUUUCCCUCCUCUCUGGACCUGUCUCCUCUCCUGGCUCUCUCUCCUUCAAGCUCUCACUCCCACUGGCCUCCCUCCCGGGAGCCCCGUCUCCUCCGUCUCCAGGUGGCCCCUGCAUCCCUGCCUGGUGGGCCUUUGCCUCCCUCUCCUGUUCCUGCCUUGCCUGCUCCCAGGUUUCCAGGUCCUGACCAGGAGGCAGGAGUCCAUACCGAGGCCCAAACAGGCUAGCCCUGAGCAGGGCCCCCAAGCCUGAGGCCCAGGAGUGGACAGACCUUUGUGACACCCAUUCUCUCUUCCUUUUCCAUCUGUCCGGAACUCUGGACACUGCCUGGAGGAAUCAGGCCUGCCGUAGGCCCAGGAAGGCGGAAACAAAGACGACGCUCAGAGACAGGAAGCAACUUGCCUAAAGAUACACAGCACAAAUGAGAAAAUUGGUGCCCAAUGUUUCUGAAGACCAGCAACUGCUAAGACAGAGACUUCGAGGGAACCCGACCUUGCCUGAAGGACCAACAGCGCCCCCUGCAGGACACUUCCCUCCAUUGAGAGAAGCCACAGGCGCCGGCCUGAGGCAUUCUGAGUGCGUGGAAUCCUCUAUUACCACCUCCUGGCAAAGAACGGAGCUGCAACCCAGCUAUAUGAGACACCGAGAAUGAUCUCAACAAAAAGGAACAGUGACCAGAAUGCCUGGGGGAGGAACAGGGGAUACUGGGUGGAAGGAGGGGAGAGGGAGAAGUUGUAAUAUUUUGUAAAAAUGAACAUUUUUACUCCUAAUCAAUAUACAAACAUCAUGCUCAGCAAACUUCUUGGUAUGAAACUUCUGAACUUCACACAUUUUCAAGUCAUUCUAUGGGUGGGUGGAUUGGCUCCCAUGGAAAUGCAACUGGGACUGCACAUGGGAAACAAAGGAAAAUGGAAUUUGGUUCACACAAACCUGUUUGGGAGAUUGCAUUUCCAGGAAAUGGGCCAAAUUGAGUUUGUUUCCUUUGUAACAACAUUGUUGUGCCUUGCUGACUGGAAGGUGGGUACAAAUAAAGGAGGAUGGACUGACAGCUGAAGAGGCACCAGUAAUUAGCCCCUAAUCCUUACCAGGGAGUCUCUCUGAUGGGUUAAAGAAGCCUACAGAGGCCAGGGGCGGUGGCUCACACAUGUAAUCCCAGCACUUUAGGAGACUAAGGUGGAUCGCUUGAGGUCAGGAGUUCAAGACCAGCCUGGCCAACAUGGUGAAACCCGGUCUCUACUAAAAAUACAAAAAUUGGCUGGGUGUGGUGGCACACGGUUGUAAUCCCAGCUACUCAGGAGGCUGAGGCAAGAGAAUUGCUUGAACCUGGGAGGUGGAGGUUGCAUUGAGCCAAAAUUGAGCCACUGCACUCCAGCCUGGGUGACAAGUGAAACUCCAUCCCACAAACACACCUGCCCCCCACCCACCAAAAAAAAAGGAGCCUAUAGUUUCCAGUAGACAAUUUGGGGUUAGUAAAGAAUUUUACAAAAUACUAAAUGUAGUCUUGUAUAUUUUAGGAUUGUUUGCCAUGCAACUAUGUACUGGGAGCACCUAAAUGCCCACAUGAAACCCUAGGCUGGGAAGAGGAAGGCUUUCGCAAUGCCACGCAGCCGAUAACAUUUUCUGGUGGCAGGAAAUGGGAGGGAGCAACCCCUCCUGGAGCAUUUACCUUGCCAGGUGCUCUCACAUCUUAGACCAGAAGUCACGAGGCUAGGAUGAGGGUCCAGGAGGCAGAGAAUGAGGAUUGAGUUAGGGUCAGGACAGUGGACACAGAGAGGAGGAGACACAGAAGGAUGGGUUGGGACUCUAUCCUGGGGGAGGUGAGAGGCCACGCGGAGGGCUGUGAGCAGGGGAGUAGUGAGGUCAGCUCUAGUGUCAGGAAGCUCUCCAUUAGGGGGAUGGACUGAGGGGGGGAUGUUGGGGGCUGGGAGGCCAAAGAGGAGGCUGGGCCGAUGGUCCAGGUGGCAGAGGACGAGGCUUGAGCUGGGACCAAGGCCAUGGAGACAGAGGUGACGGGAUGAGGCCAGGAAGAACUUUAGGGGUAGGUAUGGUGGUGCAUAGGAGAACGUGAUUGGGACAGGGCAGUGCUCUGGUCCAUGAGGUUGGGCAGGUGAUGGCACCACUCACUGGAACAAAGAUCCCUGGAGGAGCACCCGAUCCGGGCAGGUGGGAGGCACUGGCUCCUUUAGUGGCCCCUGAGGCACAUCCUGGGGAAGGAGCCCAGGAGGCAGCUGGGGCCAUGAGUCUGGAGAUCAGGGGUGGGAUCUGAGCUGGAGAUGAGUUGGGGAAUCGCUGGUGAAGAGGGGCUGUCUGGAACCUCCAGGGUGAAGGGAUGGGGCAGACACCUGGAGUAGCAAGGGGGAAGCAUGCACCACCAUCACACACACAUCCCUCUCCCCCAGCAAGGUGGGGCCCCACCGGGCCAUGUCUUCCACAGACACAUAUGUGUGCAAAAUGAUGCAGCAGAACAGGGGGACUCCUGCAGUGCUGCUUAGAACUACUCAAAUCCAGCAACACACUCUUACACCAGAGAUGGAAUAAGAUGGCACCUUAUACCAGAGAUGGAAACUGCCCCAGCUAUGUCAAAAGAAGGUGGGGGAAAAGAGCAACACUUGCAAAACUGUUGACAUGUGCAUCUGCUUGUUUCUGUGGAGAGUAUCUGCAGCAUACCAGGGGACAGAAAACUCAGGCUGCCUCCAGGGAGGGGAAGUGGGUGCUGGAGCCCAGAGUGAGCAUACAGUUUCUGGACGUGGAUUCCACUGCAUCUUUUGUCUAUUCUGGAGACAGGGUCUCACUCUGUCACCCAGGCUGGAGUAAAGUGAUUCAAUCACAGCUCAGGAAGCAUCGAACUCUGGGGCUCAAGCGAUCCUCCUGUCUCAGCCUCCCAAACAGCUGGGACUACAAGCAUGAAUCACUAUGCCUGGCCAACCUACUCUAUCUUUUGAGUUUCAUACUUCAUCCCUGGAUAACCCGGUCAAUAAAAUAAAAUAGUGAGUGGGUUCCCCAAGGACCGGCCAGACGGGGAAGAAAAGUUUAAUAAGAACAGAACGCUAGGGGAGCCUGAAGGAGCUCAGGCAUUUCCUGGAAUACCCAACAGAGUAACCCUGCCAGCCUGAAAGCAACCGAGACUUAGAGGGAAAGGACAUAAUCAGGUUUAUAAAGAUCCCAAUGUUUAACCCAGGAAAAAUAAGAUGUUCCCCCAGUGCCGGGGUAGAAGACAUCUGCAGAUCAGACACAGGGACCAGGACUCCAAGUUGGGAACACUUCCCAAAAAGCAUCAGUAGGCCUGGCGCAGUGGCUCAUGCCUGUAAUCCCAGCACUUUGGGAAGCUGAGGCAGGUAGAUCACCUGAGGUCAGGAGUUCAAGACUAGCCUGGCCAACAUGGUGAAACCCUGUCUCUACUAACAAUACAAAAAUUAGCCAGGUGUGUUGGCGGGCGCCUGCAAUCCCCGCUAUUUGGGAGGCUGAUGCAGGAGAAUCGCUUAAACUCAGGAAGCGGAGGUUGCAGUGAGCUGAGAUCGUGCCAUUGUACUCCAGCCUGGAUGACAGAGCGAGACUCUGCCUCAAAAAAAAAAAAAAAAAAAAAAAAAAAGCAUUAGUAAAUAUUUCUGGAAUCCUCUAGGAAAAGAAUGAAGCAGGAUUCACAUGGAAUGAAGACAGAAAAAGCAUAAGCUAUCUCCUGCAGGUGGAGAAAGAAACAGAAGUUAGCAAUGCUAAGACUAUCUUCUUUAUUAAAGUUACCAAAAAUAGGCCAGGCGCGGUGGCUCACGCCUGUAAUCCCAGCACUUUGGGAAGCCGAGGCAGGUGGAUCACUCGAGUCCAGCAGUUCACGACCAGCCUGGGCAAUAUGGUGAAACCCCGUCUCUACAAAAAAUACAAAAACUAGCUGCGCGUGGUGGUGCACGCCUACAAUUCCAGCUACUCAGGAGGCUGAGGUGGGAGAAUCGCUGAGCCUGAGAGGUGGAGGUCGCAGUGAGUCAAGGUACCGCCACUGCACUCCAGCUUGGGUAACAGAGCAAGACCCUGACUCAAAAACAAAAAGAAGUGAUGGGAGGGAAGGCAACCUCCCACGGUGCACCACCUCCUGGUCUUGACAGUCGACUCACAAACCAUCACUUGUUUAUAAACGCGUUUCCGAUCUGCCAUCGUAAUUCCAUUUUAGUCAUGCAUCCCGAGAUCAUUCAAACCACACCCAAGAGAGACUGGACGACAGCACUCACUAGGGUGCUAUUUAUAACCAUACAAUGCAGGAGGCUAGCUGCGUGUCGAUCUGGGGGACAGUUUAAUAAACUGCCACACAACACAGCUGAGCUCCACACAGCCACAUGAGGAUGGGGACAGCCAUUCCUUGGGUUUCUGAAUAACGUAUCAAGUGAGCAGUGAAUUUCAAUCAAGCUUGUACAUCAGGACCGUCUUGCCAAAACAACAGUUGCUUUUGGCUGCUGGAAGCUGUAGCUUUUCAAAACGUUCACACAUUUCAAUGUAUCGUCGAUGUUUUUAAAUAGACUUACAGGGAGGGUGGCACACAGCAAAGGCCCGCAGGCCCUCGUAGCACCGCAGUCCAGGUAGGAUGCUGGGCGGCGGGGGGUGGUGGAGGGGGUUCUAUUUACAGUGUCUGGGCUUUGACUCCACUAACUGUUGGUUUUGUUUUCUUUCUUAAACCUUUUCCUUCAAGUCUGGAAGCCUGUGGAGGGCCUGUCACCUUAAAGGCAAGGAUUCCUUGUUUGCACCAGGCAGACAAAUGUCAAACCACGACCCCAGGGGCUGCACUAGGCGUCGGGCCCAGAAGCCCCCGGCCAUCCAGCCCCGACUCUUUCAUGCCUCUGCCCCUGAUGAGGGGACCCAGGGUACCCUCAAGGGGACACAGAAGGGAGGCUGCAUCCUAGUCCAGUGUCAAAGUGAGGGGGGCGCUGCAGGAGCCUGGACAGGACCACCUAGCCCAGCCAGGGACAGGAGGGUGAGACCACCUGGAACAAAGGCACAGAGGCUGGAGAGAAGGCGGCAUGUUCCCAGACUGCAUGGGCUCGGGGUAGGGGGAUGCGAGGUCAGAACUGGCAUAGUGGCCAGGAUCUCGGGCUCUACUCCAUGGGCAGGGGGGAAGCCCCUGGGGCUGCAUGGGGCCAUGGGGGAGGCGGGCGCAGGAGACACCGGCUGCUGUGCCAAAGGCCCCAGUCCAGCUGCUCCUCUGCCAGCAGAAGGCAGAGGACAAGGGGCUGGCCCAGGUGGCCUCGUGGGACGGGGGGAAAGGAGGGACCAGCAAACCCUUCUUGGGAUGGCUGAGGACACAGGGGACUCCAGCAGAAAGGGAGGCCCCUGGGUGUGCAAGACGGGACGCUGACCAGCCUGGGCCCUCACCGGCCACUACCCCCACCACCACCCCCACCCCCACCCCCACCCUGGCCCCCGGUGUCUGGCGCUCCUGACAUCAUGAGGAACAGGACGACGGGAAUGAUGUACAUCCACUGCAGCCGGACGGAAGGAUGGACAGACAGACACAGAAAGAGAGAGAGAGGGGAAGGAGGUGAGUGUGGGCAUCACCCACCCACGGUGGGGACCGGCAUGAGGGGAGGUCGCGUAAGGGGAGGGCGCCCAGGUCCCCUACGUCACUACAGGUCAGGGAGGGCCAGUGGGGCGCAGGGAGGGGCAGGGGUCUCGGUCCUCACUCAGGCCUCCUGUGGCGGUGGCGCGGGCCCUGGCGCAGCAGGACGCAGGGCUGUGAGCAACACGGCCCCCCCCAGGAUGAUGUGCCACUGGGGAGGGAGGGAGCGCAGGUCAGGGCCAGUGGGCUGCCGUGGGGCCUGAGGGCCAGCAGGGAGUGGGAGGGCGCUCGAGUGGGCAGCAGGGCAGGGCCCAGCAGGCAAGGGCUCAGCCUCUGGGCCUCAGUUCCCUGCAGCACAACUGUUGGACUAUCCAGGCGGAGCGGGUGAGGCCCUCAGGCAGGGCACUCAGCACAGCAGGGCUCAGCCAUCCCAGCCUCAGCAUCCUCCUAGCCUGCCUCGGGCCACACAGACCUCUUCGCUGGCCUUGGCCUGCCUGGGCUCCUGUGCCACAACCUAACACCAGUCUCCACACUCAAUGGACCAGAGGCCUGGGUGGAAGCCACCUCCUCCGGCUGUCCCCAGCCUCCCCACCCCACGCCUCAGCCUCUAAGCCCCCGGGACUCAGACCUGCUGCUGGCAGCACAGGCCCCUCCCUCCUCAGCUCCAGGAGGCCUCCCAGGCACCCUGCUGCCCCCAAUGCCCCUCCCUGGGCCACAUCCCUCCCGGACCCACUCCUCUCUCCUUCCUGUACAACCCCCUGAAGAACCUGCUCGCCCCUCCUUUCCAAGCCUCCCUGGUUCCUUUGAAACCUCCACUGUUCCCUUCCUCUCCAGCCUCAUGGCUCCAACCUAGCUCAGGCCGAGACCUCCCCCAGGACCCUGCGCCCUAGAGCUGGCCCGACCUCCCCUGACCACACUUCCAUACCCUCUUCCUGCAAACAAGCCUCAGCCCAGGUACCAGGACACACAGGAGGCCCGGAGGACAAGGAGCAGGCCCGAGCACCAUAGGGGAGUCUGGGUGGGAGCAUGGAGGGCCUGGCCAGGCACCGGGACUGUCAGGAAGGGAAUAGGGGAGGCGGGGGAGCCCCACUCACGUAUUUGGCGAAGAAGGACUUCUGCUCCUGGGGGUUCUUGGCCUUCUGGGCCUGUUCCAUCUCCAGGCGCUCAAUGAAGGCCGCCGUCUCAGGGCUGGGGCAAGGGGAGAGGAGGAGAAGGGUGAGGCCCGGAGUCCAGGGACCUGGAGACCCUGAGGCCGCCAGGAAGGGCCGGGGCAGGUGGCAAGAGCGCCGCGAAGGCAGCAGAGGCUCACCCUGGGGCUGUGGUGGGCGGCUGCAGCUGCACCGAGGUGUUGAACAGCUCCAGGUCCACGUCCUCCACCUCAUGGCCCCGGCAGCCCCCGGGGUGCGUCACCACCGACACGCCCACCACGUUGCCGGCCACAUCCACGUGCAGGGUCAGCUGGUCCGACAGGUGCGACUCCACCAGGGAGCA
rnacentral:lncRNA from 1 species